AUUGAACGCUGGCGGCAGGCCUAACACAUGCAAGUCGAGCGGAUGAAGGGAGCUUGCUCCUGGAUUCAGCGGCGGACGGGUGAGUAAUGCCUAGGAAUCUGCCUGGUAGUGGGGGAUAACGUCCGGAAACGGGCGCUAAUACCGCAUACGUCCUGAGGGAGAAAGUGGGGGAUCUUCGGACCUCACGCUAUCAGAUGAGCCUAGGUCGGAUUAGCUAGUUGGUGGGGUAAAGGCCUACCAAGGCGACGAUCCGUAACUGGUCUGAGAGGAUGAUCAGUCACACUGGAACUGAGACACGGUCCAGACUCCUACGGGAGGCAGCAGUGGGGAAUACUGGACAAAGGGCGAAAGCCUGAUCCAGCCAUGCCGCGUGUGUGAAGAAGGUCUUCGGAUUGUAAAGCACUUUAAGUUGUGAGGAAGGGCAGUAAGUUAAUACCUUGCUGUUUUGACGUUACCAACAGAAUAAGCACCGGCUAACUUCGUG
rnacentral:rRNA from 1 species